rnacentral:rRNA from 1 species
ACCUCUUCCCAUUCCGAACAGAGAAGUUAAGCCCGGUCACGCCGAUGGUACUGCGUAACAGUGGGAGAGUAGGUAGUCGCCGUUU